GCCAGCAUAGCUCAGCUGGUAGAGCAACUGAUUCGUAAUCAGUAGGUCCACGGUUCAAAUCCGCGUGCUGGCUCCA
rnacentral:tRNA from 4 species